GUGUGGACUUUGGCAGCACAUAUGUUACAAUUGGAAUGAUACAGAGACCAGCACGACCCCUGUGCAAGGAUAACAAGCACGUUUGUGAAGCACUUCAUAUAUAU
ensembl:snRNA U6 U6 spliceosomal RNA